rnacentral:lncRNA from 1 species
CAGCUUUUUAAAGUCACUCAGCUAAACUGCACAAGAGUUAUGAGCGCCAAGGAGUGACCAGAUGGAAGACCCUUCUGAAAACAGAGAAUGAUUUUGAAGGGAGGAACAGCCAGUGUUCCUUCCUGUGUACACUUGGACAGAGCUGAAACACAUGCCCCAGGGCCUGGGAAAUGCUUCUGCAAGUGAUUCUUGGAAAACUUUUCUGAAUCACCAGCUUGUUUGCACUGCAUCACCUCCUGCAGGUGGUUAUUGUCCAGACUCACGCCCCUGUGGUAAAAGCCAUCUUGCUUUCUGCACAGUCUUAACAAAGUUUUAGGAUUGAAGGAUUAGGGCCAUGCAGCCCUACAUUUGCUCAUUCCCUUGUUUUCCUACCAGCACGUCUCCCUGUGAGGCAAAUCCCCCCUAACAAACCCUUCUGUGAAGCUUUGUCAGUGACUGCCAGCCUAAGAAAGAAGAUGACGAAAAUCUCCAUUCCAAUAAUACGUGCAAACAAGCAAACAAAGCCACUCAAGGCUGUUUUGAGAUUGGACUCUUGGAGCUACUUUAUGUAAAAUUUCUUGUUUAGUGUAUUUGGAAAUGAAUGUCCCAAUUCUUCAGGGUAUGAACCAUAUUUUCUUUGUGCUAUUUCUAAAGUAAGCUGUAUAAAAUAUAUUCCCUUUUUGCAGAAGUUGGAAAAUAAUGUGAUAACUACCUGUAUCUAUCUACAUCUCUCUCUCUGCCUGAAAGCCCAAUAAAUGUAACUGUUAUCAUACCUACCUCCUUGUU